UACAUGCAAGUCGAGCGAACUGAUUAGAAGCUUGCUUCUAUGACGUUAGCGGCGGACGGGUGAGUAACACGUGGGCAACCUGCCUGUAAGACUGGGAUAACUUCGGGAAACCGAAGCUAAUACCGGAUAGGAUCUUCUCCUUCAUGGGAGAUGAUUGAAAGAUGGUUUCGGCUAUCACUUACAGAUGGGCCCGCGGUGCAUUAGCUAGUUGGUGAGGUAACGGCUCACCAAGGCAACGAUGCAUAGCCGACCUGAGAGGGUGAUCGGCCACACUGGGACUGAGACACGGCCCAGACUCCUACGGGAGGCAGCAGUAGGGAAUCUUCCGCAAUGGACGAAAGUCUGACGGAGCAACGCCGCGUGAGUGAUGAAGGCUUUCGGGUCGUAAAACUCUGUUGUUAGGGAAGAACAAGUACAAGAGUAACUGCUUGUACCUUGACGGUACCUAACCAGAAAGCCACGGCUAACUACGUGCCAGCAGCCGCGGUAAUACGUAGGUGGCAAGCGUUAUCCGGAAUUAUUGGGCGUAAAGCGCGCGCAGGCGGUUUCUUAAGUCUGAUGUGAAAGCCCACGGCUCAACCGUGGAGGGUCAUUGGAAACUGGGGAACUUGAGUGCAGAAGAGAAAAGCGGAAUUCCACGUGUAGCGGUGAAAUGCGUAGAGAUGUGGAGGAACACCAGUGGCGAAGGCGGCUUUUUGGUCUGUAACUGACGCUGAGGCGCGAAAGCGUGGGGAGCAAACAGGAUUAGAUACCCUGGUAGUCCACGCCGUAAACGAUGAGUGCUAAGUGUUAGAGGGUUUCCGCCCUUUAGUGCUGCAGCUAACGCAUUAAGCACUCCGCCUGGGGAGUACGGUCGCAAGACUGAAACUCAAAGGAAUUGACGGGGGCCCGCACAAGCGGUGGAGCAUGUGGGUUUAGUUCGAAGCAACGCGAAGAACCAUAACCAGGUCCUGACAUCCUCUGACAACUCUAGAGAUAGAGCGUUCCCCUUCGGGGGACAGAGUGACAGGUGGUGCAUGGUUGUCGUCA
rnacentral:rRNA from 1 species